rnacentral:misc_RNA from 1 species
CGAGAUGCUGAUGAAGUCUCAAUGGCAUUAACAAAUAGUAUAGCUUCUGAGGCAUUGCAUGGAGAUAUAUCUCAGCACCAGAGAGAGAGAACUUUAAAUGGCUUUCGGCAAGGAAAAUUUACAGUGCUUGUUGCCACAGACGUUGCUUCUCGUGGGCUUGAUAUUCCAAAUGUUGAUUUGGUUAUCCAUUAUGAACUUCCCAAUGAUCCUGAAACUUUUGUGCAUCGGUCUGGUCGUACUGGACGUGCAGGCAAGGAAGGUACUGCCAUUCUGAUGUUCAGUAGUAGUCAAAGGAGGACAGUUAGAUCUCUUGAGCGUGAUGUGGGGUGC